AUGAGACCACAAUUUUUCCCUCCUUACUAUCGCCGUGAAUUGCUUCACAAAUUUGAACAAUUUAAACAAGGCAACAACACUGUUCAUGCUUACUACCAAGAGUUCAAAUCUUAUAUGCAUCAUUGUGACAUAGAAGAAUCUGAGGAUGAUACAAUGAAUAGAUUUUUUGGUGGUUUGAACCAUGAUAUUCAGACACGAUUUCAGUAUAUUCCUCGUUGCAUUACUGCUAUGUAUGUUCGUGCUUGUACCUUUGAGAGACAGUUACAGGAGGAUGCAUUGGGUGACUACAACACCUACUAUUCUAGUUCAUGCUCACCACCACCGCUUGGUUCCUCCACCGUUGCACCUACUAGAGCAGCCACACCUCAGAUUGUGAGCGCGACAUCAUCUCAAGAGUAUGGUACAUUGCCACCAUCCGUACCUACAUCAGCUACAUCUUUGCGACAAGGUAACUGUAAAGGUAUUGAUGAUAUAACUUCACAUGAGAAUGAUGCAUGCCUAAUUAACUUGAAUACAUCAUGUGUUGAGUUACCUGUUGAUUUGAGCGCAUCACCUAUUUUAAAGAAUCAUGUUACUGUCAUGAAUGCGUCAUGUGAUCAAACAACUGAAAUAUCAAUAAUUUUGAGUGCACCCAAUGAAUUAACUGUUGAUGCAAAAGAACCAAUGUUUAAUCAUUUUGAUAUGACCUCUAAUCUUGGUGAUGAUUCUGUGUCAAAUGACUUAUUGCAUGUUUGCUUAUUUAAGCAUGUUGUAGCAUGUAAAUUUGAUGCAAGUAAGGUUUACACAUCAAUGUUGGGAUGGUUUAAUGAUGAAUAUUGUCAAUCUUUUCAUAUCAAUAAGAGCUUCACUUAUAUGUGCAAACUGAGUUGCAAUACUUUCAUGCCUUCUACUUCUUGUGAUAAUAUUUUGGUUUAUAUUUUAUUAACUAUGAAAGUUACUCAUGUAUACAUGUGUCAUAUGUGCAAAAUCCUCGAGAAGUAA
rnacentral:rRNA from 1 species